rnacentral:rRNA from 1 species
CGAAGCCGGCCACAAGAUUAGAUUUCUUGAGGGUCGUUGAAGACGACAACGUUGAUAGGAUGCAGGUGUAAAGCUGGAGACAGCAAAGCCGAGCAUUACUAAUUGCCCGAAAGCUUUCCUUA